rnacentral:rRNA from 1 species
UACGUAGGGGGCUAGCGUUGUCCGGAAUCAUUGGGCGUAAAGAGCGUGUAGGCGGUCCGGUAAGUCUGCUGUGAAAGCCCUGGGCUCAACCUGGGAAUGGCGGUGGAUACUGACAAGCUAGAGUGCGGUAGAGGAGGGUGGAAUUCCCGGUGUAGCGGUGAAAUGCGUAGAGAUCGGGAGGAACAUCAGUGGCGAAGGCGGCCCUCUGGACCAGCACUGACGCUGAGGCACGAAAGCGUGGGGAGCAAACAGG